UACGGAGGGGGCGAGCGUUGUUCGGAUUUACUGGGCGUAAAGCGUGCGUAGGUGGUUUCCCAAAGUUAGAAGUGAAAGCCCAGGGCUUAACCCUGGAACUGCUUUUAAAACUGGGUCACUAGAAUAUAGGAGAGGUAGAUGGAAUUCCGAGUGUAGAGGUGAAAUUCGUAGAUAUUCGGAGGAACACCAAUGGCGAAAGCAGUCUACUGGACUAUUAUUGACACUGAGGCACGAAAGCGUGGGGAGCAAACAGG
rnacentral:rRNA from 1 species